GCCGGCCUUCCCACACUGAUUUGCUUCAUCCCCGUGGAGGCUCCCUUCACUCACAAUCCUCUUGUGAUGCUAUCCACCGUGAUGUGACACCGCCAGAGGGCCUCAUGAAAGCCAGCAAGGUUUGUGGACUGUCAGCCCCCAAAACUGAGCUAAAGAAACCUCUCUUGUUUAUGAAGCACCCAACCCCAACUAUUUUGUUUUAGUCACAAAAAACUGCCUAACACCCUCCCUGAUAUUUCCACACUAGUGCCUUCCUCUCCAGUCAGGGCAAUGAGGGAAACCACCCCAUGCCCCAUGACAAAGCCUUGUCUCCUACCUUCCUACCUUCUCCAUGUUGCCUGGCUCUCUCCACCUGUACAGGCACUGCAAUGAUGUGGACCACUGUGGCCUCUGGUGGACACAAGUGCUGUGGCCUCCUGCCUGGUUUCCCAGAGAGAGGGGAUAAAGGAAAGCGUCUCCUGAACUCCUAGAUCGACGCCCAGAAUCAGCUCGUACUGCCUGGGCUCCUUUCCUCUGUGACACUUAGCUCAGAGGGCUGGGUGGUCCUGAUCAACGUCUCUUGCCCUCAAGAGACAGAAAUGUCUGAAAAUGUGGAGAAUGUUCCUAUUCUACAUCCCAGCUGCAGCACAGUCCUAGACUGCAGACACACAGCUGACCUUGUUUGAACCUGUAAAGUAGUGAGUGCCGACCUCAGCUAUGCCCUUCGUUUGGGCUAUAUUCCUUCCUGUUAAAGAGCCCACCUUGGAGGGGGGUUGUUGAUGCCCUCUUUUGUGGUGUCAGCUAUGACAGUUACAUGGAGC
rnacentral:lncRNA from 1 species